AAGUCGUAACAAGGUCCCGUAGGUGAACCUGCGGAGGGAUCAUUACCAAAGAUGGCGGGCCUCCGGGCCCCGCUCCCCCACCCUUUGUUGAACCUAAACCUUUUGCCUGCGGGGCAGAGCGUCCGCCGCCCGCCCCGGAGGACCACCGAACGCUGUCUCUUUACGUCGGAGUAUUGAUUAAAUAAAUGAAAA
rnacentral:misc_RNA from 1 species